ACGCUCGACACCUACGGGACGCAGCAGUGAGGAAUAUUGGUCAAUGGGCGCAGGCCUGAACCAGCCAAGUAGCGUGAAGGAUGACUGCCCUAUGGGUUGUAAACUUCUUUUAUAUGGGAAUAAAGUUUUCCACGUGUGGAAUUUUGUAUGUACCAUAUGAAUAAGGAUCGGCUAACUCCGUGCCAGUAGCCGCGGUAAUCUGAGCGGGCUGGCAAGGC
rnacentral:rRNA from 1 species